AUGAAUGUCAUAAUGUUCCCAAUUUCUAACCAGAGGUAAAAAACAAACAAACAAACAAAAAACCUAGAUUUAGAGUUAUAUUAACAUAAAAUGCACUCCACCAUGCCUGCAACAAAUAAAUUAGAAGAUGCUGUAAGAAACUGGAAUUAAGCCCCAAUGGGCCCCCGACCCUUUCUUCCUUCUUUAGAUUAAUGAAAACUGUCCCUCACCACCUCCAUUUACAUUCCUGCAACCAUUUACCAAAAAGGGCAUUAUCUCGAGCUGCCGCAGGGUGUGAUUUUACCAUAAGUUAGUUACAUGACUUGUAAAUGCCCAGAAAUCCCCACGUGGCAUAUACUUCCGCUGUUACUAGAGACCAGGGGACAGCAUUUGCUUUACUCCAGAUUUUUUAUUUUAUUUUAGUAAACAUCUCAUGUCUUUUGUCUUUAGGCCAUAAAAUAAGACUGAGUUUGCCUAGCUCACAGGCCCUCGGGUUGGCUUUGAAGAUCCGGAGCUGACCUGUCCUCGCUGGAGGCAUGGCAUCCCAGCGGUGUCACUAGCAGCCCAGUUUAUAAACAACUCUGAGAAGUCACCCAUACGCUCAAGUGCAGGGAGGAGAGAGCAUGCUGAUAUGGAAGUAGCAGAACAGAGAUUCGAUCACAACAAAGGAAAUAUCGGCCACAGGCACAUCCUGUGCUUGAAACACCUCCUGGCCUCCUGUGAGCAGCCCGUUGGAGAGCUGCUCAGGCUCCCGCCCCAGCCGCAGGUGCAGGGUCCGCCCUGGGCCAGCGAGCACACUUGCUUCGGCUCUACUAAACUCGUUUCAUGUCACCCCAUCCGUUUUCUAGGUUAAAUCAUUAAAAAAUGUAUAAGUUUUGCUGUGGGAAACUUCAGUUGAGUAUCACAUACUGCCCACAUCUAUUAAUAAAAUGGCAUGUGAUGCCUCCACAGCCUAUCUUUUAAAGGUCCAACUCAUCAGCACACGUAUGUUGAGUGAGCUUUCCUUUGCACUGUUAAAUACAUUGGUGAGUUUCCCUGGGGGAGGAUGCAAAAGUUCUGGAGACCGACAGCGGUAUAUGUGCACCGCAAUGUGAAUGUGCUUAAUGCCACGGAAUGGUACACUUAAAAAUGGCUGAAACGGUAAAUAUUCUGUUAUGAAUGCUGUACCACACACCCAUACACAGAAGAAGCCAUCAGAUUGAACAAGGUGGAUAAUACUAGAGAUUUUUUCAUUGCUAGCUUAGUUGGCCAUUUCAAAUUUGUUAGCUUAUGGCUUAAGUCGGCCAUUUCAAAUAAUAAGCAAGACAUAAUGAUAUUUCCCAAAGAAAUACAAAUUUUCUAUUUACUGCUAGAGGGAAAA